rnacentral:misc_RNA from 1 species
GAUGAAGAACGUAGCGAAAUGCGAUAAGUAAUGUGAAUCGCAGAAUUCAGUGAAUCAUCGAAUCUUUGAACGCACAUUGCGCCCGCCAGUAUUCUGGCGGGCAUGCCUGUUCGAGCGUCAUUUCAACCAUCAAGCCCCCGGCUUGUGUUGGGGACCUGCGGCUGCCGCAGGCCCUGAAAAGCAGUGGCGGGCUCGCUGUCACACCGAGCGUAGUAGCAUACAUCUCGCUCUGGGCGUGCUGCGGGUUCCGGCCGUUAAACCACCUUCAUAACCCAAGGUUGACCUCGGAUCAGGUAGGAAGACCCGCUGAACUUAAGCAUAUCAAUAAGCGGAGGA